GCAGCAGUGGGGAAUUUUCCGCAAUGGGCGAAAGCCUGACGGAGCAACGCCGCGUGAGGGACGAAGGCCUCUGGGCUGUAAACCUCUUUUCUCAAGGAAGAAGAUAUGACGGUACUUGAUGAAUAAGCCACGGCUAAUUCCGUGCCAGCAGCCGCGGUAAUACGGGAGUGGCAAGCGUUAUCCGGAAUUAUUGGGCGUAAAGCGUCCGCAGGCGGCCUUUCAAGUCUGCUGUUAAAACGUGGAGCUUAACUCCAUCAUGGCAGUGGAAACUGUUGGGCUUGAGUGUGGUAGGGGCAGAGGGAAUUCCCGGUGUAGCGGUGAAAUGCGUAGAUAUCGGGAAGAACACCAGUGGCGAAGGCGCUCUGCUGGGCCAUUACUGACGCUCAUGGACGAAAGCCAGGGGAGCGAAAGGGAUUAGAUACCCCUGUAGUCCUGGCCGUAAACGAUGAACACUAGGUGUCGGGGGAAUCGACCCCUUCGGUGUCGUAGCUAACGCGUUAAGUGUUCCGCCUGGGGAGUACGCACGCAAGUGUGAAACUCAAAGGAAUUGACGGGGGCCCGCACAAGCGGUGGAGUAUGUGGUUUAAUUCGAUGCAACGCGAAGAACCUUACCAGGGCUUGACAUCCUGCGAACCUUUAAGAAAUUAGAGGGUGCCUUCGGGAACGCAGUGACAGGUGGUGCAUGGCUGUCGUCAGCUCGUGUCGUGAGAUGUUGGGUUAAGUCCCGCAACGAGCGCAACCCACGUUUUUAGUUGCCAGCAUUUAGUUGGGCACUCUAGAAAGACCGCCGGUGAUAAACCGGAGGAAGGUGUGGAUGACGUCAAGUCAUCAUGCCCCUUACGUCCUGGGCUACACACGUACUACAAUGCUACGGACAAAGGGCAGCAAACUCGCGAGAGCUAGCAAAUCCCAUAAACCGUGGCUCAGUUCAGAUCGUAGGCUGCAACUCGCCUACGUGAAGUAGGAAUCGCUAGUAAUCGCAGGUCAGCAUACUGCGGUGAAUACGUUCC
rnacentral:rRNA from 1 species